rnacentral:misc_RNA from 1 species
UUCGCCGUCUACGUUGCUCUUUCUUCGCGGACGAACACGCGCUGGGCCUGCACGCAGCAGGAUCCAGGGUCCUUAACGGGAUAUGCGUUAGGGGCUUGUAGCUCAGUUGGUUAGAGCGCGCGCUUGAUAAGCGUGAGGUCGGAAGUUCAAGUCUUCCCAGGCCCACCACUUUCAUCGAGUGAGCAUUCGUCUUCUGGUUACGGGGCCAUAGCUCAGCUGGGAGAGCGCGUGCUUUGCAAGCAUGAGGUCGUCGGUUCGAUCCCGUCUGGCUCCACCAGAUGGUUUGAUCACCGAGGUCAUGCACCGUCGUCCGCGAAACAUCACUUCGCAUCCUGCUAGUCUGGAUAGACAGCAGAAUGCGUGUUUUCUGACAUCGUAAAGAGGAGAUCGAUCCGAGUUGGGUCGUGUAGCAGAUUGCUGCGCGGAUCCUUCAUUAUCUCCGGAUCAUUUUCGGCGCUCGACGCUGACCGCAAGGUUGGCAGCGAGUUGUAAAAUGAUCCUUUUAGCGAAGCUUGACCGCCUCGCUAUCGGAACGAUCUUACGAAGCAAGCUGGUCUUUCUAGUCAAUGUCCGGCUGCGACAAUCGUAUCUUCGAGGGUACGUGCCUUUAGUGGCAAUUGCGCAGACAACAUUCUGCCGAGUGUGUGGACAUUGAUAAUGAGAGCAAUCAAGUGCCUUAAGGUGUUCGGUGGAUGCCUUGCGCUGAGAGGCGAUGAAGGACGUGCUACGCUGCGAUAAGCCGUGGGGAGCUGCGAGAGCUUUGAUCCGCGGAUUU